CGGCGGGGCCGUGAGGGGCGGGAGCGGCCCCGCCCCCUCAGUCCGAAUCCAGCCGGGACAGAGCCCGGAUCCAGCCGGGAAGCAGCCAGAUCCCACCGCCCGACCCCCCAGCGACACGAAACGGUGCAGUGAAUAAACCUAUUUUGCAGUUAUCCCAGUCAGCAACAUCCGCCUGUUGAACAUUAUUUGGACACUGACCCCACAAGAGAAAAACUACAGGAUCCUGUGGAGAUACAGGGCUGGUUUGGAUACCCAGUCCUAUUCCAGCACCAGCCUGUGUGGUCUUUGCCCCACGUCUUUGGGUCAUGUUACAGGUCUCUGGUGGUACCUACAGAAGCUCCUGUGCUGGGGUUAGGAAGGAUCUGCACUGUUUUCCCCUCUGUGGUGGCACAAACCUCUGAUUUAGGAAGAACAAAAGAGCUUAAAAUGCUUUGCCCAAUCACUUGGCAUCCUGCACUGGAAUAAGAAAGGUCAGGCAAUAACUUUUGUUCAAAAAGAAGACUUCAGUAGAAUGGAUUUAGUUUAUUUAAUAGCAAAGAAAAGGUCAUGUCUUUUGUUCUUUUAUUCUCACAUAAAUUGAUUUUGUAAAGUUGAAGUUGGUUUAUCACUGUUUGUGUUCUGUGGCUUUGUUAUUUCAGCACUGGAGAAAAGGUCAUCUUCUUGCUGGGUAUCUGAUAUUCCAUGGUCCAUUAAAACUGCAUUAUUUCUGCUGUAACUGAAGUUCUUUUUCUUUUCUUGCAUUUUUUUCUCUUUUAGUUUUUCCCCCUGACUUCACCUGUCCCAAGACAACUCAGCUCAACUGGGUAGUUUGUCCUGCAGUCUAGUAUAGAUUUUUCUCAUGUUUUGUUCACUAUUCAGGAGCUUGAAGAGAUUCCCUCUCUGGUAACUUAGGGGAGUGAAUUGCAUUCUGUCUCAAAAUGAAGUGUCAGUAGAAGACAGUGACUGAGGUUUUUUGCAUGGAAUAAGAAAGAAAAAUGAAAAUAUUUAAAAAUAUAGAGGUCUGAUGUGAAAUUUAUAUUGUGACUCUUCUACUAAGGAAAUAGUAAUUUCUUUACAGCCAGCUCCUCAGUGGCCUGUUUGCCUGACUUCAGUUUUGCUCCAGCUGUCUCUGAGAUGAUUGAAGAGGAACUGAAAGAGGUUGAUGUGCUCAUCAACUCAGAGGUGUUAAGCCAAGUGAGUGUCAGUGGGGAAAGGCUUAAUUUUAGGGUAGUGGCAGAAAAGAAAGCAAUCACCUUUAU